rnacentral:rRNA from 1 species
AUUGAACGCUGGCGGCAGGCCUAACACAUGCAAGUCGAGCGGUUGAGGUAGCUUGCUACCGAUGCAGCGGCGGACGGGUGAGUAAUACAUGGGAAUCUGCCUGGUAGUGGGGGACAACGUUUCGAAAGGAACGCUAAUACCGCAUACGCCCUACGGGGGAAAGGGGGGGAUCUUCGGACCUCUCGCUAUCAGAUGAGCCCAUGUCGGAUUAGCUUGUUGGUGAGGUAAAGGCUCACCAAGGCGACGAUCCGUAACUGGUCUGAGAGGAUGAUCAGUCACACUGGAACUGGGACACGGUCCAGACUCCUACGGGAGGCAGCAGUGGGGAAUAUUGGACAAUGGGCGCAAGCCUGAUCCAGCCAUGCCGCGUGUGUGAAGAAGGCCUUAGGGUUGUAAAGCACUUUCAGUGGGGAGAAAGGUUAUUCACCUAAUACGUGAGUAAAUUGAUGUUACCCACAGAAGAAGCACCGGCUAACUCCGUGCCAGCCGCCGCUGUAA